ACGCACGCUGGCGGCGUGCUUAACCCAUGCAAGUCGAACGGAAAGGCCCUGCUUUUGUGGGGUGCUCGAGUGGCGAACGGGUGAGUAACACGUGAGUAACCUGCCCUUGACUUUGGGAUAACUUCAGGAAACUGGGGCUAAUACCGGAUAGGAGCUCCUGCUGCAUGGUGGGGGCUGGAAAGUUUCGGCGGUUGGGGAUGGACUCGCGGCUUAUCAGCUUGUUGGUGGGGUAGUGGCUUACCAAGGCUUUGACGGGUAGCCGGCCUGAGAGGGUGACCGGCCACAUUGGGACUGAGAUACGGCCCAGACUCCUACGGGAGGCAGCAGUGGGGAAUAUUGCACAAUGGGCGGAAGCCUGAUGCAGUAACGCCGCGUGCGGGAUGACGGCCUUCGGGUUGUAAACCGCUUUCGCCUGUGACGAAGCGUGAGUGACGGUAAUGGGUAAAGAAGCACCGGCUAACUACGUG
rnacentral:rRNA from 1 species